rnacentral:rRNA from 1 species
AGCUCCAAUAGCGUAUAUUAAAGUUGUUGCAGUUAAAAAGCUCGUAGUUGGAUUGGUGUUGGUUAUGUUUAUUUGGGAAAUUCUCAAAGAGACGUUAACCAAUAUAUUUGGGAUUUGGUCUAGAAUGGCAUUCAGUUGUUGAUUUAGUUCCAGCCCAUCGUUUACUGUGAAAAAAUUAGAGUGUUUAAAGCAGGUUUUGUAACCGUUGAAUACAUUAGCAUGGAAUAAUAAUAUAUGACUCGUAUGGUCUAUUUUGUUGGUUUGCACGUAUGAGUAAUGAUUAAUAGGGACAGUUGGGGGUAUUCAUAUUUGAGCGUCAGAGGUGAAAUUCUUGGAUCGCUGAAAGAUGAGCUAAGGCGAAAGCAUUUACCAAGGAUGUUUUCAUUA